rnacentral:misc_RNA from 1 species
CGCAAUUUGAGGAAACAAACAGUGAGAAAGAGAUUUUGGUCGAAAACGGUAGGAUUUGGCCAAAGAAAUCGUGUUCUUGAGUCUCAGUCACUGUUGGGGUUCUGACAAGAAAGCCUCGAGCCCCUCUCUUUUUUUCUGUUUAAAAUUCCCCAAGCUUCUUUCUACAGUGGCCAACUUGUAGAAAUUGGUUCUUUUACUUCUAUUUAUUCCAGAUGCUUCCUUUAUUUCUUUCCCAACAAAUUUCGAUAGAUACUAGGCAAACAAUAACAGAUUAUAGUUGUCGUAAUCUAGAACUUUUCGAAGAGAGAAUUCUGGAGUAAUUAUUUUCCCACUCACUAAGAAGAAAUGGCAGAAGCAGUCGUCUUCAACAUUGCAGAGGAAAUCAUCAAAAAGUUGGGUUCUCGUGGCCACGAGGAGAUUGGGUUAUGGUGGGGUGUCAAGGAUGAGAUCGAGAAGCUCAAGAAAACAGUUUCCAUGAUCAAAGCUGUGCUGCUUCAUGCAGAGGAGCAAUCUUCUGUGAGCAAUGAAGUUCAAGAAUGGCUUGGGAUGUUAAAAGAAGCUUUCUACGAUGCAGAUGACUUGUUAGAUGAUUUUUCCACAGAGAAGCUUCGUAGGCAAGUGAUGUCUGGCAAUAGAAUUAUGAAGGAGGUACGCCUUUUCUUUUCACAUUCCAAUAAGCUUGUUUAUGGUUUCAAAAUGGGUCACAAGAUUAAAGAAAUUAGAGAUAGAUUGGCUGAGAUUGCUCUAGACAGGAAGUUUCAUUUAGAAGAACGUCAACAAGAGACAUCUGAGACUGAAAUGAUCAGGGAAAGGGAGCAAACUCACUCUUCUUUACCAGAAGUAGUCGUUGGUAGAGAAGAGGACAAGAAGAAAAUUGUAGAGCUUUUGUUUUGUUCCAACUUUGAAGAAAAUGUGCCAGUGAUUUCAGUAGUUGGAAUUGGAGGGUUAGGAAAGACAACACUAGCUCAACUUGUAUACAAUGAUCAGAAAGUUAAAACACAGUUUGAUCUUAAAUUAUGGGUUUGUGUUUCUGAUAAUUUUGAUGUCAAAAUCAUUGUUGAAAAGCUUAUAGAAUCUGUCACUGGUGAGAGACGUAGUAAUCUUGAGAUGGAUACAUUGAAAAACAUCCUUCAUGAAAGUAUUAUUGGGAAAAAGUAUUUAAUUGUGUUGGAUGACGUAUGGAAUGAAAAUCCUGCUAAAUGGUUUCGUCUAAAGGAUUUAUUAGUAGGUGGUGCGAGAGGAAGUAGAGUAAUAAUAACUACGCGUCUGAAGAGGGUUGCCGAGAUAACACGCUCAAUUUCAAUAUAUGAAUUGCAGGGCUUAUCCGAAACUGAGUCCUGGUUAUUGUUUAAACAAAUGGCAUUUAAACAAGGGCAAGCUCUGAGCGCGAGUCAUGAGGCAAUUGGAAAGGAGAUUGUAGCAAAAUGUGUGGGGGUUCCUCUAGCCAUUAGAGCGAUCGGAGCUCUACUGUAUUUUAAGAGUACCGAAUCUGAAUGGUUGUCUUUCAAAAAUAAGGAACUAGCAAAAGUAGAUCAACAUGGAAGUAAUAUUUUACCGAUUCUUAAAUUGAGUUAUAAUCAUCUCCCCUUACAUUUGAAGCGUUGCUUUGCCUAUUGUAGAUUAUUUCCA